rnacentral:rRNA from 1 species
AUUGAACGCUGGCGGCAGGCCUAACACAUGCAAGUCGAACGAGUGGCGGACGGGUGAGUAAUGUCUGGGAAACUGGCUGAUGGAGGGGGAUAACUACUGGAAACGGUAGCUAAUACCGCAUACCAUCAGAUGGGCCCAGAUGGGAUUAGCUAGUUGGGGGGGUAACGGCUAACCAAGGCGACGAUCCCUAGCUGGUCGGAGAGGAGUACCAGCCGACCGGGAACGGAGCCACGGCCCAGCCUCCUACGGGGGGCAGCGGUGGGGAAUCUUCCACAAGGGGCGCAAGCCUGAUGCAGCAAUGCCGCGUGUGUGAAGAAGGCUUUCGGGUUGUAAAUUACUGUCAUCGGGGAGGCGGUACCCGAAGAAAAAGCCCCGGCUAACUACGUGCCAGCCGCCGCGGUAAUUC